UGGGGAAUAUUGCGCAAUGGGGGCAACCCUGACGCAGCAACGCCGCGUGAAGGAUGAAGGUUUUCGGAUUGUAAACUUCUUUUGUCAAGGACGAAGAAAGUGACGGUACUUGACGAAUAAGCCACGGCUAACUACGUGCCAGCAGCCGCGGUAAUACGUAGGUGGCAAGCGUUGUCCGGAUUUACUGGGUGUAAAGGGCGAGUAGGCGGGUUUGCAAGUCAGAUGUGAAAUACCGGGGCUUAACUCCGGGGCUGCAUUUGAAACUGUAGAUCUUGAGUGAUGGAGAGGCAGGCGGAAUUCCCGGUGUAGCGAUGGAAUGCGUAGAUAUCGGGAGGAACACCAGUGGCGAAGGCGGCCUGCUGGACAUUAACUGACGCUGAGGAGCGAAAGCGUGGGGAGCAAACAGG
rnacentral:rRNA from 1 species